rnacentral:rRNA from 1 species
GGUUAAGCGACUAAGCGUACACGGUGGAUGCCUAGGCAAUCAGAGGCGAUGAAGGACGUGCUAAUCUGCGAUAAGCGUCGGUAAGGUGAUAUGAACCGUUAUACCCGACGAUUUCCGAAUGGGGAAACCCAGUGCAAUCCGUUGCACUAUCGUUUGAUGAAUACAUAGUCAAACGAAGCGAACCGGGGGAACUGAAACAUCUCAGUACCCCGAGGAAAAGAAAUCAACCGAGAUUCCCCUAGUAGCGGCGAGCGAACGGGGAGCAGCCCAGAGUCUUAAUCAGCAUUAGUAUCAGGAGAACGGUCUGGAAAGUCCGGCAGUAAAGGGUGAUAGCCCCGUAUCUGAAGAUAUUAGUGUUGUGAACUCGACGAGUAGGGCGGGACACGUGUUAUCCUGUCUGAAUAUGGGGGGACCAUCCUCCAAGGCUAAAUACUCCUGAUUGACCGAUAGUGAACCAGUACCGUGAGGGAAAGGCGAAAAGAACCCCGGCGAGGGGAGUGAAAUAGAACCUGAAACCGUGUACGUACAAGCAGUGGGAGCCUUGAUUUAUCAGGGUGACUGCGUACCUUUUGUAUAAUGGGUCAGCGACUUAUAUUCUGUAGCAAGGUUAACCGUAUAGGGGAGCCGUAGGGAAACCGAGUCUUAACUGGGCGAAUGAGUUGCAGGGUAUAGACCCGAAACCCGGUGAUCUAGCCAUGGGCAGGUUGAAGGUUGGGUAACACUAACUGGAGGACCGAACCGA